GCUUCUCACGCGGCAGACUCUCCCGCUGCGGAGCACCGGCUCUGGAGGCUCGGGCGUCCGGAGCUGCAGCCGUGGGCUCAGCAUCGUGGUGCGGGCGCUCAGCUGCCCCGCAUCGUGUGGAGUCUUCCUGGACCAGGGACGGAGCCGCCGUCCCCUGCAGGGAGAGGAAAAUAGUGAGCAACAACUGCUUCAGGGAGCUGCCUAACUUACUCCAACAAAGUACACUGGCUGUGAUAUCCUGCAAGCGGCGUGCUUUUUUUUCAUCGUAUCCCUGAUGCUGCCAUGAGCCCUAAGACCCACGGUCACCGUUUUCUUUCACCCGCUGGCUGGAGGCCAAGGUUAGCCCAGAGGAGAGGAAACAAAUCAACCACAACGCUAAUGCCAGGCUCCCCUGGUGGCUCAGUGGUAAAGAGUCCGCCUGCCAAUGCAGGAGACACGGGUUCGAUCCCUGGGCCGGGAAGAUCCCACAUGCCGGGGAGCAACUAAGCCCGUGCACCCCACCUACCAACUCUGUGACCUACAGCCAGGGAGUUACAACUACUGACACCUGCACAUGCUAGAGCCUGUGCUCCGCAAUGAGAGAGACCAGCAUAGGAGAGGCUCACAAUGAGAAACUUCACCUGAGCAUCGCAACUAGAGCGGAUCCCCACCCACUGCAGCUAGAGAAACCCUGUGUGCCGCAGAGAAGUCCCAGCACGGCCAAAAAUAAAUUAAAAAAUUAAAAAAAAAAAAAAAGACUCGUGGCAAAAGUAAACUGCACACACAGAGACUUAAGAAGUGUUUGUUGAAAAAUAACACACACCUGGGUGGACACUGGGCUAGUAAGACAGCGAGGUGGUCGAGGAGACGGCUUCAGGGGGACAGAGCCAGGUCUGAGUUCCGGCUCUGCCACGGACCGUGUGAAAGAUAAAGUCUGUUCCCACAGGCACAGGAGGGAACGGGUAAAAAGCAGGGAGGGGACAGCGGGCUCCCUCUCCGGAGCACAGCAAACACCCCGGGGGCCCGAGCCGGGGCAGUGCAGGGCCUUAAGGGCUGCGGCAGCGCCCGGGGUCUGGGGGGGGUCUUCUAACGUCACACUUCCGGGAGCUGCGGGCUUCCAUCACUAAUCUCUCUGCCCCCUCCAGAGAUUCAACCAAGAAACUCCACACACGGGCUUGCCAGGGGGUGAAGUGGUGGAGUCCGCCCGCCAAGGCAGGAGAUGCAAGAGACGUGGGUUUGAUCCCUGGGUCAGGAAGAUGCCCUGGAGGAGGGCAUGGCCACCCACUCCUGUCUUCUCACCUGGAGAACCCCAUGGACAGAGGAGCCUGGGGGCUACAGUCCAUGGGGUCACAGAGAGUCGGACAGGACUGAGCAACUGAGCGCACACACACAUUUAGUGAGUAAAUCGGGAUUGAGAAUAAGGGGAGUCUCGUGCUUUUAAAAGCAUGUUUGAACUGCUUCUGGAACUAAAAAAAAAAAGCCCGGGUCCCACCCAAGACCAACUCGGUCAGAACUGACCGGGGCUGAGAACUGAGCGGGGCUGAGAGCCACUGUCACAGGCGAUGGACUCACGGAGGGUCUCAAACUGUGGUCCAGAGAGCAGCUUCCCCGUGGCUCAGCGGGUAAAGCAUCCGCCUGCAAUGCGGGAGACCUGGGUUUGAUCGCUGGGUUGGGAAGAUCCCCUGGAGAAGGGAAAGGGUGCCCACUCCAGUACUCUGGCCUGGAGAAUUCCGUGGACUGGACAGCCCAUGGGGUCGCAGAGAGUCAGACACGACUGAGUGGCCUUCACUUCACUUCACCUCAGGGAGCAGCGGCAGCACGCAGGUCCACCGAACAGAACCUACGUUAGGAAAAGAGCUGCAGGUCGGCGGCAUAUGGGCGUUAAAGGCUGACACCGACGUAGCUUCUGAGUGGGGAUCACACAACGAAGCCCCCUGACAGAGUACGAUCGCCAUAUCCCAGACACCGUGCCAGGCCUGUUCCAUCCCGCUCUACAGAAGGGAACGCUAUUCACCCGUGGGGCUGUCCUCAGAAUUCAAUACACAUCAAGUGUCAAGUACAGCUCUGGGUAAACAGCGGGUGGUAACUAUUACCCUUAACAUAAAUUCCUUCCAAUUAUUGCCACUCUGUGAUCUUACUCUUAACGGAAACUCAGGCUCAGGGGAGGUCAGGGGCUCGUCCAAGGUUACACAGUAAAGGCUGGAACUGAGUCUCACGCCCUGGAUGGCCUCAUUCAAAGGCUCGUCUCCUUCCCACCCGGCGCUCUGACAGCCGGGCUCAGCGCAGACUGGACGGGAGAGACGAAGGGGUGGCGGCCCUGGUGAUAAACCCAAAGGUACCAGCAGAGCUCCCACGCUUCUGCUGGAGAGAUGAGAACUGGCUACACGGACAGACAAGGACCAACAAAAGCAGAAGAGCCGUUACGGUCACAGAAAACGUGUAAACCCCAACCUCCGACAAAUGCUUAGCGACUUAGUUAACAAUCUUCCUAUAGCAAUAUUUAGUUAGGAUUUAGCACUCUUUUCCAUCUGGACAGCUUUAGAGAGUUCACAAAGCCUUUCAGAAGCAUCACCUUCUUUUAACCUUCGCCACAACUUGGUGCGAUGGGAUGAUAAGCCUCAACUGGGAUGAUGCCACCUACUUCUUUCCUCCUUAAACCCCGAUUAAAUCUCAUAAACCUGGACUUCCGACUACUCUACAACAGCUUUCAUGAAAGAAAGCUUGUGCUUUAGAAAAAAUUUAGAUUUUCAGUGACCUGCACGGAUGUCAUCAUCUGUCCUUCUUUCUUUUCAUCCCAUCAGUAACGAUGAGAAGACAGAGGCGGCUGCGGUCCCUGGGAGUAAACACAGGGAACUGGCGCGGGCCCACCUGUCGUACCCGCUCCGUGAAGAGGAAACGGGGGCCCUGACUGGGCUCUGGGGGCUCCUGGCACAGGCGCCUCCCCAGCUGGACAUGAAGGUCUUUUAUACUUUUAUCUGCAUAUUGAUUUACAAUGGUGUGCUGGUUUCAGGCAUAUGGCAAAGUGGUUCAGCUGAACAUAUAUCAGUAGCUGUUCUUCUUUGGAAUAUUAUGCAGAGUCCCCUCUGCCACACAGCAGGUGCCUGCUGGUUCUCUAUUUUAUAUGUAUAUGUAAAUUCCAACCUCCCCGCUUACCGCUUCCCUCACCUCCCCGCGUUGGUAACCACACAGUUCUUCCUAAGUGUGUGAGUCUGUUUCUGUUUUGCAAAAAAAGUUCAUUUGUAUCCUUAAAAAAAAUUAGAUUCCAUGUAUGAGUGAUAACAUAUGGUAUUUGCCUUUCUCUGAUUUGCUUUACUUAGUAUGGUCACCUCUAGGGAAUUUUUAGGAGGCCAGCCACAGUCGGCAGCCCGGUGGCGGAGAGAGAACGUGGCAACAGAAGACUCAGACGGUCCUCUUCGACGUGUGGUGUGCUCACAGAACCUCAGCCCUGUGUCAUCCCUCUGAGCCCUUGCGGCGACCAGGCAUCCUUAGGAGUCUGGCUAAAAAGAACACACGGUCUUCAAAGGGAAGCAAAUGAGAAGCCCUGGAAACACUUUGCUCCCUGCUUGGCUCCUGGGGUCAGGUUACGACAUGUCCACACUGCUCAGCUGUCUAAGAUGCACAUCCAGGAGUGGAAUUGCUGGAUCAUGUCACAGUUCUAUUCUCAGUGUUUUGAGAAGCCUCCAUGCUUUUUCCCCACAGUGGCUGCACCAAUUUACGUUCCCACCAACAGUGUACGAGGGUUCCCUUUUUUCCGUAUCCUCACUAACGUUUGCUUUCUGUAGACUUUUUGAUGAUGGCCAUUCUGACAGGAUUCCUUCCAGGAUACCACAUUAUUUAGUAGUCGUGUCUACUCAGGCUCUAUUCUUUAUAAAAUGGAGCCUUUUUCUUAUUAUAAAAAUUAAUAAGGUAAGAACUUAAGUUGAGAAAUUGAGUGAAGUGUACCUGGAAAGACUCUGUACUAUCUUUCCAACCUCCCUGCAAAUCCAGAGUUAUUCCAAAUCGAACAGUUAAUUUAAAAUUCUAUUAUGGCAAAAAACAAUGUCUUUCUUGGGUUUCCUUUAAAGAAAAUUCCUCUGUGUACAAAUGCUCAGCUUGACUAUGUUAAAACUUAAGGGACAGGACAUGAUAACUCAUUUCUCUACAGUGAGACCGUCCCCCAAAUACUGUCGUAUGUGUUACGUUAGCUGCAUCCCAGUUUUACUGAUGUUACUGGUAACAGGAUGCUGCUCACCAAUAUUAUUCAUAAAAUCAAUACAGUUUUAAAUUAUUUGAUUUGGGGGGAGUUGUGGGGAGAUGUGAGGGUGGGGAGAUUUCAACUGAUCUGUCUUUAUACACAUUCAAGUUAAAAUGUCCAAAUUCAGUUUGCUUGAUCCUUGGCUCCCUCAACUCCUCUGUGCUACAGAAUUUACAAUUUUACUCAGCUCAGUGAAAAUGAAUAUAUAGUAAAAGAAAAGUGAGCUGGGAUGCCGAAGCUACUUUGCAGUGUUUUAGAUCAUGGUAUCUUAGGAACUCAAAAUACUUUCCCAAACUCACCUCCCCCUUCAUCCAAAGACUUGAAAUCAUUCAAGAUUUCAUCCGAAGCAAACAUGUUACUUGAAUACUCAAGAGAAGUGACAUAAAAACCCUAGAACUAGGUUGGGAUUUGGUCUAUGGUCACUUGAUUCUGUAGGGCCUAUCACACUCCAGACUGUCCAGAUGACCAUUCCUGUGACCUCUAAAAAGCGGGGCGGACGCCGGCUCCAAUGUGACUGUGGAUGGCUAUGCAAAGCGCUUGUCGGUUCUGCAGUCCCAGAAGUGGUAUCUUCUCUCCUAGACACACUUGCCGGUCAGAUGUCUGUCCGUGAAGAUACGAAGGCGAUCGGUUCAGAAGGGAAACUGUAAGAAUGAUAAAGACGCAGAGAGCCCUGCGGGAGAGCGGAGCCGGGGGCAGCAGGCCGUGCAGGACGCCGGUGCGCCGACCACUUGGCCCACACCUGCCCCCGACCCGUGCGCGUGAGAAAGCAGGAGAGACAGCGAGGGACAGAGAAAAAAGAAAGGGAAGCUACAGGGGAGAAAUUGCGAGGAAAACACAGAUGUGUGGGAUCACUAACAUGUGACCGCCAGACUCAGAAUCCACUACGAUAUUUCACAAAGCCGGCAGAACUGAAUUUUCUCGUCCUACCCCGGUUCGAGCCCUGAUGCAUACAAAAUCUAAUUUGGCUUAGCUAAGAUGUUGGGUAUAAUAUGUACAUCAAAGGGAAGCUGCUAUUCAACAGCCAUCUGAAAGAGCUGGGAAGGACUGCGGGGUGCAGGCAAAAAUGAUUGAACGUGGCCUAGUGUAGGAUUCUUAUUUUACUGAAAGAACUAAAAAGAACUAAGAAGCAGAGAACAUCAGCUUCAGGGGUUUCUCAAAGGCAAUCCGACAAGCGGCAAACUGCUGGGCCUAAUAACGCGCACACGCGCUGACCCGCAGGCCUGCGCGCCUCUGCCCAGCGCCCUCGCUCCGCCUUGCCGGUCCGGUCCGCUCCGCCCGCGCAGAGAGGCUGCGCGCUGCGUCCAACCGCAGCGCUCGGCCCACGAUGCUCCUCUCCACGUGGGAUGGUGGGUGCGCUCCAGUUUCAGGGGGGCUGUUCUCUUCUGAGCAAUUGUACCUUCAUGAAUUUUUUUAUUUUAUAACUUUAAGUUGUAUAACUUCUACACUUAAUUUUUAUCUUAUAUUACAGCUGACUGAGAAUGUUGUGUUAGUUUCAGGUCUGCAGCAGAGUGAUUCCGUCAUGCGUGGACAUGCACCUAUUCUUCAGAUUAGUAGGUUAUUACGGAGUGUUGAGAAGGGUUCCCUGCGCUUUACAGCAGGUCCUUGCUAUUUUACACACAGAGGUGCAGAGUUUACUACAUACAUACACAGUGUGGGGUCCAUCCCAAACGCUUACUUUACCCCUCCUCCCUCACAUUUCCCCUUUGGUAAUGUACGUUUAUUUUCCAAGUCUGCCAGUCCAUUUCUGUUUUGUAAGUAAGUUCAUUAGUAUCCUUUUUUUUGGAUCCCACAUAUAAGUAACACCAAUGGUAUUUGUCUUUCUCUGACUUCACUUAGCAUGACAACAAUCUCUAGGCCCAUCCAUGUUGUUGCAAAUGGAAUUAUUCACUCUUUAGGAUAAUUAUACUGUAAAGCUUCUGUCCUUUUAUUUUUUUCCAAAAAGGGCGUGGUGGUCAGAAUAUAGACUCUGUAAACUGUUGUUGACAAUCUGUUUAACCAACGUGGAGUUAUGAGAACACCUCCAUUGGAUUUGAUUUAUAUUUGACUGAUUUUAUGGACCACGGCUUCUUUUUUUAAAAAGGUAUUUUACUCUUUAAUAACAUAAAGAAAUAUUCA